rnacentral:lncRNA from 1 species
GCUUGUCCCCGUGCAGCAUCACCAGCGCCAUCCACUACAUCAGCACAGCCGUCAUCUCAGCCGUCCUUUGGAGCAGCUCCGAGUUUUCGCUAGGAGGACAGAUCAUCUAUGCCACGUCAGGGCGAGCGGCGACAGCAGACUCCGAGCGGCAGGGUUUAUGCAGCACAGGUGGAGGAUUCUUCAGCGGCCGACCGAGUAGUGACAAGUAUCAUUUUAAUUUCUAGUAUU